rnacentral:rRNA from 1 species
CGAAAGCCUGACUUCGGUUGGGCAAGUAGAGUGGCAAACGGGUGAGUAACACGUGGAUAACCUACCCUCGAGUGGGGAAUAACCCCGGGAAACUGGGGCUAAUACCGCAUACGAUCCAUCGGACUAAGUCCGGUGGCUGAAAGCCUUCGGGCGCUGGAGGAGGGGUCCGCGGCCGAUUAGCUAGUUGGCGGGGUAAAAGCCCACCAAGGCACAGAUCGGUAGCCGGCCUGAGAGGGCGCACGGCCACACUGGCACUGAGACACGGGCCAGACUCCUACGGGAGGCAGCAGUGGGGAAUCUUGGACAAUGGGCGAAAGCCUGAUCCAGCGACGCCGCGUGACUGAUGAAGCCUUUCGGGGUGUAAAAGUCUUUCGGCAGGGACAAUAAUGAUGGUACCUGCAGAAGCAGCUGCGGCUAACUACGUGCCAGCAGCCGCGGUAAUACGUAGGCAGCUAGCGUUGUUCGGAAUUACUGGGCGUAAAGCGAGUGUAGGCGGUUUGCCAAGUCCGUUGUGAAAUCUCCCGGCUCAACUGGGAGGGUGCGGCGGAAACUGGCAGGCUAGAGUGCGGAAUGGGAGAGUGGAAUUCCUGGUGUAGCGGUGAAAUGCGUAGAUAUCAGGAGGAACACCGGUGGUGAAGAUGGCUCUCUGGACCGCUACUGACGCUGAGACUCGAAAGCGUGGGGAGCAAACAGGAUUAGAUACCCUGGUAGUCCACGCCCUAAACGAUGCAUACUUGGUGUGGGCUCUUCACUGAGUCCGUG